CCUACGGCUGGCAGCAGUGAGGAAUAUUGGUCAAUGGACGCGAGCCUGAACCAGCCAAGUAGCGUGAAGGAUGACUGCCCUACGGGUUGUAAACUUCUUUUAUAUGGGAAUAAACUGUUGCACGUGUGGCUUUUUGUAUGUACCUUAUGAAUAAGGAUCGGCUAACUCCGUGCCAGCAGCCGCGGUAAUACGGAGGAUCCGAGCGUUAUCCGGCUUUAUUGGGUUUAAAGGGAGCGUAGAUGGGUUGUUAAGUCAGUUGUGAAAGUUUGCGGCUCAACCGUAAAAUUGCAUUUGAUACUGGCAGUCUUGAGUACAGUUGAGGUAGGCGGAAUUCGUGGUGUAGCGGUGAAAUGCUUAGAUAUCACGAAGAACCCCGAUUGCGAAGGCAGCUUACUAAACUGUCACUGACAUUGAUGCUCGAAAGUGUGGGUAUCAAACAGGAUUAGAUACCCCUGUAGUC
rnacentral:rRNA from 1 species